rnacentral:rRNA from 1 species
UCCGGAUUUAUUGGGUUUAAAGGGUGCGUAGGUUGCAGCAUAAGUCAGCGGUGAAAAGUAAGGGCUUAACCCUUAUCGUGCCGAUGAAACUGUGCAGCUGGAGAAUACGCGAGGCAGGCGGAAUUCGUAGUGUAGCGGUGAAAUGCAUAGAUAUUACGAAGAACACCGAUAGCGCAGGCAGCUUGCCAGAGUAUAUCUGACACUGAAGCACGAAAGUGUGGGAAUCAAACAGGAUUAGAUACCCUGGUAGUCCACACGGUAAACGAUGAAUACUAACUGUAUGCGGGUGACUGCAUGCGGUCAAGCGAAAGCGAUAAGUAUUCCACCUGGGGAGUACGCCGGCAACGGUGAAACUCAAAGGAAUUGACGGGGGCCCGCACAAGCGGAGGAACAUGUGGUUUAAUUCGAUGAUACGCGAGGAACCUUACCCGGGUUCGAACGGCUUCCGAAUAGAUGUGAAAGCAUUUAGCUAGCAAUAGCGGGAGUCGAGGUGCUGCAUGGUUGUCGUCAGCUCGUGCCGUGAGGUGUCGGCUUAAGUGCCAUAACGAGCGCAACCCUUACCGGGAGUUACCAACGGAUAAAGCCGGGGACUCUGCCGGGACUGCCGCCGUAAGGUGUGAGGAAGGUGGGGAUGACGUCAAAUCAGCACGGCCCUUACGUCCGGGGCGACACACGUGUUACAAUGGGAGGGACAAAGGGCAGCUACCGUGCAAGCGGAUGCGAAUCUCCAAACCCUCUCCCAGUUCGGAUAGGAGUCUGCAACCCGACUCCUUGAAGCUGGAUUCGCUAGUAAUCGCGCAUCAGCCAUGGCGCGGUGAAUACGUUCCCGGGCAUUGUACACACCGCCCGU